rnacentral:rRNA from 1 species
GAUGAACGCUGGCGGCGUGCCUAAUACAUGCAAGUCGAGCGAACGGACGAGAAGCUUGCUUCUCUGAUGUUAGCGGCGGACGGGUGAGUAACACGUGGAUAACCUACCUAUAAGACUGGGAUAACUUCGGGAAACCGUAGCUAAUACCGGAUAAUAUUUUGAACCGCAUGGUUCAAAAGUGAAAGACGGUCUUGCUGUCACUUAUAGAUGGAUCCGCGCUGCAUUAGCUAGUUGGUAAGGUAACGGCUUACCAAGGCAACGAUGCAGAGCCGACCUGAGAGGGUGAUCGGCCACACUGGAACUGAGACACGGUCCAGACUCCUACGGGAGGCAGCAGUAGGGAAUCUUCCGCAAUGGGCGAAAGCCUGACGGAGCAACGCCGCGUGAGUGAUGAAGGUCUUCGGAUCGUAAAACUCUGUUAUUAGGGAAGAACAUAUGUGUAAGUAACUGUGCACAUCUUGACGGUACCUAAUCAGAAAGCCACGGCUAACUACGUG